UACGUAGGGUGCGAGCGUUGUCCGGAAUUACUGGGCGUAAAGAGCUCGUAGGUGGUUUGUCGCGUUGUUCGUGAAAACCCACAGCUCAACUGUGGGCGUGCGGGCGAUACGGGCAGACUGGAGUACUGCAGGGGAGACUGGAAUUCCUGGUGUAGCGGUGGAAUGCGCAGAUAUCAGGAGGAACACCGGUGGCGAAGGCGGGUCUCUGGGCAGUAACUGACGCUGAGGAGCGAAAGCGUGGGGAGCGAACAGG
rnacentral:rRNA from 1 species